rnacentral:sRNA from 1 species
CUCUGCCCCCGAUUGAAGUGAAAAACCCGGAGUUAUGAAAGCAUUAUAACACUUGCUUGUAAAGAGCGACCAGCGGAAGCUACUUUUCAAGCUUAGUGGCAUGGCGCACAGAACGAGGAUUUGCAGCAGAAAGCGGGAUUAGGC